UAGGUCGGCUGCUGGACAAUGGUCUUGGUGUAGACGGGCUCGGAGGCAUAGGUCUUGGCGUAGACGGGCUCAGAGGCAUAGGUUUUGGCAUAGACUGGUGCAGAAGCAUAGGUCUUGGCGUAGACGGGCUCAGAGGCAUAGGUCUUGG